rnacentral:rRNA from 1 species
AGUCGAACGCUGAAGCACUCUGCUUGCAGAGUGUGGAUGAGUGGCGAACGGGUGAGUAACACGUGGAGAACCUGCCCAUAAGAGGGGGAUAACAUCCGGAAACGGGUGCUAAUACCGCAUAGGUAUCCGACACGCAUGUGUCGGRUAUGAAAGACGGCUUCGGCUGUCGCUUAUGGAUGGCUCCGCGGCGUAUUAGCUAGUUGGUGAGGUAAUGGCUCACCAAGGCAGUGAUACGUAGCCGACCUGAGAGGGUGAUCGGCCACACUGGGACUGAGACACGGCCCAGACUCCUACGGGAGGCAGCAGUAGGGAAUCUUCCACAAUGGGCGCAAGCCUGAUGGAGCAAUGCCGCGUGAAUGAAGAAGGUCUUCGGAUCGUAAAGUUCUGUUAUCGGAGAAGAACACGUCGAGUAGUAACUGGCUCGACCUUGACGGUAUCCGACCAGAAAGUCACGGCUAACUACGUGCCAGCAGCCGCGGUAAUACGUAGGUGACAAGCGUUGUCCGGAUUUAUUGGGCGUAAAGCGAGCGCAGGCGGUCUUUUAAGUCUGAUGUGAAAGCCCACGGCUCAACCGUGGAUGGUCAUUGGAAACUGGAGGACUUGAAUGCAGAAGAGGUAAGUGGAAUUCCAUGUGUAGCGGUGAAAUGCGUAGAUAUAUGGAGGAACACCAGUGGCGAAGGCGACUUACUGGUCUGUUAUUGACGCUGAGGCUCGAAAGCGUGGGGAGCGAACAGGAUUAGAUACCCUGGUAGUCCACGCCGUAAACGAUGAGUGCUAAGUGUUGGAGGGUUUCCGCCCUUCAGUGCUGGAGCUAACGCAUUAAGCACUCCGCCUGGGGAGUACGGCCGCAAGGCUGAAACUCAAAGGAAUUGA